UUGAGCAAAAUUUUGGUUUGGGUUUCGCCUCUUCCUUCCAUCCUUCUUCCCCGUACUCUGAAAUCUAAAUCUGUUGUUCGAAAAUUCAACAUAUAUUCUUUGAUUUUGUUAACAAAUGGGGCCUCCUAUGAAAUCCAAUAGGCAGGGUUUCGGUACUGCUAAUGUUACUGGGAAGCAAAACCUAUUCGAUUCAUCGUCGGAUGCGAUGUUUAACAAUUUAUGGGUCGGGAAUUUGUCCGCUGACGUUACAGAUUCAGAUUUGAGGAUUCUCUUUGAGAAACAUGGUGCCGUUGAUAGCGUAACUUGUUAUCCGUCAAGAAGCUAUGCCUUUGUCAACAUGAACCGUACCGAGGAUGCCAAGAAGGCUAAAGAGUCCCUUCAGGGCGUUGUUUUACGUGGGAGCCCGCUAAAGAUUGAUUUUGCCAAACCGGCUAAACCCUGCAAGAGUCUGUGGGUAAGCGGCAUCAGCAUUACCACAUCCAAAGAAGAUUUGGAAGCAGAAUUUUCCAAAUUUGGUACAAUUGAGGAUUUCAAAUUUCUAAGGGAUAAGAAUACUGCAUACAUUGAUUAUUCCAGACUAGAGGAUGCAUCGAAGGCUCUUAAAAUGAUGAAUGGAAAAAAAAGAGGUGGAAGUUUGAUUCGUGUAGACUAUUUAAGAUCCCAAUCAAAAAGAGACCAGGGUCCUGAUUUCCGUGACGCGAAGGAAGGACAACAUUUCAGAAGUGUGGUUCCACUUGAUUCACCUUGGUUACCACCAGAUACUGUUAACAAUUACUCUGAUCCUUCGUACUUUGGUACCCAAAGGCAACAGCAUAAUCUGCCGUUAGAAGGUCGAAAAGGGGAUGGAGAGCAACCAAGUAAUGUUUUGGUUAUAUCUUAUCCUCCUGUUGUUCAUAUUGAUGAACAGAUGUUACACAAUGCCAUGAUUUUAUUCGGUGAGAUUGACAAUAUCAGAAGUUUUCCUUCAAGACAUUAUUCACUCGUGGAGUUUAGAAGCGUGGAAGAGGCACAACUUGCCAAGGAUGGGCUGCAAGGCCGUCUUUUUAACGAUCCCAGAAUUUCUAUUAUGUUUUCAUCCAGCGAGCAUGCACCAACCAAAGAUCUUACCGGAUUUCAUCCUGGAGUAAAUGGACCAAGGCCUCAUACAAUCUUUAAUGAACUCCCAACCCAAGCACCACAAUUAGAUGUUUACAGUCACCCUGUUUUAGUGCCAAAUAGUUUGCAUGGACGUGCACCCCCUUAUGGUGGACCUGAUAUUUCUAUUAGGCCUUUUGCUCCUCCAGAUAGCUUUGAUCCUCUACACCAAGGUCCAGAGUUUAAUGUGCCUGGCCCUAAUCCCAUCAACCCAAUGGGUGUUCCAAAUUGGAGAAGAUCUUCACCAACCCCUGGAAUGCUUUCUUCUUCUUCAUCAGGUGUAAAUCCACCCACCAGACCUUCUCCUGGGACAUGGGAUGUUUUUGAUGCAAGCCAAUUGCAUAGGGAACCCAAAAGACUGAGAACUGAUGGUAAUAUACCCAUAAGAGAUAUGAAAGAUCAGGUGUUGGGCACUGAUCCUGUGUACAGCAGCGUUCCACAAGUUAAGGGUGUCGGUCGGUUAGACACAAGAUUAACAACUCGAGGUACCGAUGUGGGCCAUCCCAAUUCUGACUAUAUUUGGCGAGGUGUUAUUGCGAAGGGAGGAACUCCUGUAUGUCAUGCUCGUUGUGUUCCUAUCAGAGACUGGAUUGGAUAUGAGAUCCCUGAAGUUGUUAAUUGCUCAGCUAGAACAGGAUUGGAUAUGCUGGCAAAACACUACAUUGAUGCUGUUGGUUUCGAUAUCGUAUUCUUCUUACCCGAUAGUGAAGAAGAUUUUGCUUCAUAUACAGAAUUCGUACGUUAUUUGGGUGACAGAAACCGCGCUGGGGUUGCUAAAUUUGACGAUGGAACCACCUUAUUCUUGGUCCCACCUUCUGAAUUUCUUUCAAAAGUUUUGAACGUUUCUGGGCCGGAGCGUCUAUAUGGAGUCGUUCUGAAGUUCCCACAACAUGCCUCUGGCAGCACAUCUGCUGGUCCUUUAUCAAACCAACCUCAAUAUAUCGAUAAGCAGCAGGUUCCUUCUCAAAAUGAAUACAAUCUUAUGCCCAGUGGGGAGAAGGUGCUGCAAAUCGAUUAUACCGGUGCUCCACAUGACGACUCAAAAUCACUCCCGAAGUCGCCAGCUCCUCCAUCUCGUAAUCCAUUGACUCCCCCACCAAUGUCUACAUCUAUGCCCCAAACUGGGCUUUCUUUAACACCGGAACUUAUUGCAACUCUGGCUUCUUUGGCCAAGGGUAAGUUUAAUAACCAGCAACCAUCAGCCACACCACCCGUGGGGUCCGUAUUGACCUCUGCAGCACCUAAUGAGAGACCGAUUAGGGGAUGGGAAUACGAACCUGAACCAUCCAACUUAAGUGGACAUUUCUCGCAAGCUGAAAAUUCAUUUUAUCCUCAGCCACAAAUCCCACCUCAGCAUCAGGGUUAUCAGUCAAACAUGGUCAAUGAUCAUCAUUCGGCCGCUUCCGGCAACUAUCCGGUUCAAGAUCUUGCUUUUAGUUUCCCACAACGUGAACCCGUGCCAUCUAUGAUGAAUUCAACAUCUCAAACUCCACAAAGUGGUCAUUUUGUGGGUCAAAUGCAGGCCAACAAUCAGCAAUACCUACCCAACUUCGCACAAGACACUCACGCCGGCUACGCAUUUGAACAAAAGACAGAUGUGCCCUCGGUUUUACCGCCUGGAAAUAAUCUGGCUUUAAGUCAGGUUUAUGGUGGUAAUGUUUACCAGCCACAAAGUAUGGUGCCUACACCACCUGAGAAAUCCAAUCUGCAGCUCCCUGAGCAGAUGCAGCAACUUCAAUCGGCACUAUAUGCAGCAACUCAGCAACCGUCUGAUUUUGAUGCUGAUAAGAAUGAGCGGUAUCAAUCAACGCUGCAAUUUGCUACAAAUCUUUUGCUCCAAAUACAUCAGCAGCAGCCGGGCACUCAAUCAGGGCAAGGGGGUGGAAGUCACCAAGGAGGUUCUCUUCAUUGAGGGAUGGGCGAAAUUGCCUUCUGGUGGCUAUACAUAACACAUCUCGACUGGUUAGCAUUGUAGGGUUAGAUGGAACAUUUACAUUUCGUUUUGACGUGAUCGAUCAACAUGGUGCUUUCAGCAUAUCUUCGUUUGGUUAAAAUCCUGUUUGCAGUGCCGGCCUAGUUGGAAGACGUGUGCUCGUUCUUCUCCUUUGUUAUGAAUCGAUUUUCCAUCAAUUAGACCAGAAAGAACAACGAUAAGUUUGUUGAAGUGAACUGUAAUGGAUGUGGGCAUUUCGAAUAAGAUGCCAUAUGAACGUUUGGUCCGAGUUGAUUUCGGUUUUUGAUUUUAAGAAGGAAAUGUUACUGAGCUUUUCAAAAUUGAAACUUAAUAUGC